CUAGGGAGAGUGGCAACGCUCGCCCAGGGCCGGAAAGUUGUCCAAACUUGGUCAUUUAGAGGAAGUAAAAGUCGUAACAAGGUUUCCGUAGGUGAACCUGCGGAAGGAUCAUUACAGAGCGUAAGGCUCAGCCAUGGCAUCUGUCGUGUGCUGGGCCGACCCUCCCACCCGUGUCGAUUUAUAUCUUGUUGCUUUGGCGGACCGGGUACGCGCACGACGCCCGCAAGGGCGGGUGAGCAGCCCACCGGCUUCGGCUGGGGCGUGUCCGCCAGAGACUCAUCCCAAACUCAAGUUGUCUUGCAGUCUAAGGUUUAUUAUGUAAUUGAUAAAACUUUCAACAACGGAUCUCUUGGCUCUGGCAUCGAUGAAGAACGCAGCGAAAUGCGAUAAGUAAUGUGAAUUGCAGAAUUUAGUGAAUCAUCGAAUCUUUGAACGCACAUUGCGCCCCUUGGUAUUCCGAGGGGCAUGCCUGUUCGAGCGUCAUAACACCCCCCUCGAGCUACUUUGAUGUGGCUCUGGUGUUGGGGCUCGCCGCGAUACGCGGUGGCCCUUAAAGACAGUGGCGGGCUUCGGCGUGGGCUCUACGCGUAGUAACUUGCUUCUCGCGACAGAGUGACGACGAGGCCCUGCCAACAACUCUUAUCGGGUCCCUUCACACGGAUUCAUAGGUUGACCUCGAAUCAGGUAGGAAUACCCGCUGAACUUAAGCAUAUCAAUAAGCGGAGGAAAAGAAACCAACCGGGAUUACCUCA
rnacentral:rRNA from 1 species